rnacentral:rRNA from 1 species
GACGAACGCUGGCGGCGUGCUUAACACAUGCAAGUCGAACGGAAAGGCCCUGCUUUUGUGGGGUGCUCGAGUGGCGAACGGGUGAGUAACACGUGAGUAACCUGCCCUUGACUUUGGGAUAACUUCAGGAAACUGGGGCUAAUACCGGAUAGGAGCUCCUGCUGCAUGGUGGGGGUUGGAAAGUUUCGGCGGUUGGGGAUGGACUCGCGGCUUAUCAGCUUGUUGGUGGGGUAGUGGCUUACCAAGGCUUUGACGGGUAGCCGGCCUGAGAGGGUGACCGGCCACAUUGGGACUGAGAGACGGACCAGACUGCUACGGGAGGCAGCAGUGGGGAAUAUUGCACAAUGGGCGGAAGCCUGAUGCAGCAACGCCGCGUGCGGGAUGACGGCCUUCGGGUUGUAAACCGCUUUCGCCUGUGACGAAGCGUGAGUGACGGUAAUGGGUAAAGAAGCACCGGCUAACUACGUG